AACGAGCUGCAAGUCGGUGACGGCAAGCAAAUCUCUUAAAGCCAGUCUCAGUUCGGAUUGUAGGCUGCAACUCGCCUACAUGAAGUCGGAAUCGCUAGUAAUCGCGGAUCAGCACGCCGCGGUGAAUACGUUCCCGGGCCUUGUACACACCGCCCGUCACACCACGAGAGUUUGUAACACCCGAAGUCGGUGAGGUAACCUAUUAGGAGCCAGCCGCCUAAGGUGGGAUAGAUGAUUGGGGUGAAGUCGUAACAAGGUAAC
rnacentral:rRNA from 1 species